AGUGGGAAACGAAGUGGGAAGGCUUAGACAGCUAGGAGGUUGGCUUAGAAGCAGCCAUCCUUUAAAGAAAGCGUAAUAGCUCACUAGUCGAGUCGUCCUGCGCGGAAGAUUUACCGGGGCUAAACUGUCUACCGAAGCUGCGGAUUUGCAUGCAAAUGCAAGUGGUAGGGGAGCGUUGUGUAAGCUGAUGAAGGUGUGUUGAGAAGCAUGCUGGAGGUAUCACAAGUGCGAAUGCUGACAUGAGUAACGAUAAUGCGGGUGAAAAACCCGCACACCGAAAACCCAAGGUUUCCUGCGCAACGCUAAUCGGCGCAGGGUGAGUCGGCCCCUAAGGUGAGGCGGAAACGCGUAGCUGAUGGGAAACAGGUUAAUAUUCCUGUACUGAUCAUAAUUGCGAUGGGGGGACGGAGAAAGCUAGGCCAGCACACUGUUGGAUGUGUGUUUAAGCGCGUAGGUUGAAGACUUAGGCAAAUCCGGGUCUUUAAGACUGAAACGUGAUGACGAGUUUCUACGGAAACGAAGUGGUUGAUGCUCUGCUUCCAGGAAAAGCCUCUAAGCUUCAGAUUAUGAUUAACCGUACCCCAAACCGACACAGGUGGGUAGGAAGAGAAUUCCAAGGUGCUUGAGAGAACUCGGGUAAAGGAACUCGGCAAAAUGAUACCGUAACUUCGGGAGAAGGUAUGCCUCUGAUGGUGAAUAGCUGUUGGAGGCCGCAGAGAAUAGGCCGCUGCGACUGUUUAACAAAAACACAGCACUCUGCAAACACGUAAGUGGACGUAUAGGGUGUGACGCCUGCCCGGUGCCGGAAGGUUAAUUGAUGGGGUGCAAGCUCUUGAUCGAAGCCCCGGUAAACGGCGGCCGUAACUAUAACGGUCCUAAGGUAGCGAAAUUCCUUGUCGGGUAAGUUCCGACCUGCACGAAUGGCGUAACGAUGGCGGCGCUGUCUCUACCCGAGACUCAGUGAAGUUGAAAUCGCUGUGAAGAUGCAGUGUACCCGCGGCAAGACGGAAAGACCCCGUGAACCUUCACUAUAGCUUGACACUGAACAUUGAAACAAGUUGCAUAGGAUAGGUGGGAGGCUAAGAAGCAGAGACUCUGGUUUCUGUGGAGCCAUCCUUGAAAUACCACCCUGCUUGUUUUGAUGUUCUAACGUAGACCCGUUAUCCGGGUUGCAGACAGUGUCUGGUGGGUAGUUUGACUGGGGCGGUCUCCUCCCAAAGAGUAACGGAGGAGCACGAAGGUUUGCUAAUCACGGUCGGACAUCGUGAGGUUAGUGCAAUGGUAUAAGCAAGCUUAACUGCGAGACAGACAAGUCGAGCAGGUACGAAAGUAGGUCAUAGUGAUCCGGUGGUUCUGAAUGGAAGGGCCAUCGCUCAACGGAUAAAAGGUACUCCGGGGAUAACAGGCUGAUUCCGCCCAAGAGUUCAUAUCGACGGCGGAGUUUGGCACCUCGAUGUCGGCUCAUCACAUCCUGGGGCUGAAGUAGGUCCCAAGG
rnacentral:rRNA from 1 species